GCGAGUGAAGCGGCAAGAGCUCAACUUUGGAAUCGCUCCGGCGAGUUGUAGUCUGGAGGUGGCCACCACGAGGUGUUCUAGCAGCAGGCAAGUCCUUUGGAACAAGGCGCCAGCGAGGGUGACAGCCCCGUACCUGCUUUUGCUAGUGCUUCCUGUGGCCCACCGACGAGUCGAGUUGUUUGGGAAUGCAGCUCUAAGUGGGUGGUAAAUUCCAUCUAAGGCUAAAUAUUGGCGAGAGACCGAUAGCGAACAAGUACAGUGAUGGAAAGAUGAAAAGCACUUUGAAAAGAGAGUGAAACAGUACGUGAAAUUGUUGAAAGGGAAGGGCUUGCACCCAGACACGGUUUCGGCCGGGCCAGCAUCAAGUAGAACGGGGUUAAAAGACCUGGGGAAUGUAGCUACCUCUUGGUAGUGUUAUAGCCCUUGGGUGAUGACCCCUGUUUUGCUUGAGGACAGCG
rnacentral:rRNA from 1 species